rnacentral:lncRNA from 8 species
UCCAGAGGUAUGCUACCUGAUUUGUAGGUUAAAUUAUGCAUCAACCACAGUAAUGGAAAAACAGUUGACCACUUUGGUGUUUCCUUCUGGAUCUGACAUGAUGAAAACUCCAGCAAGGUCAAAACGUGUGUGUGUGUGUGUGUGUGUGUGUGUGUGUGUGUGUGUGUGUGAGAGAGAGAGAGAGAGAGAGAGAGAACUAGCAUUGAAAGAAGCAUUAGGCAUAAUUUGAUUUGACAUGCAUUGCUUGGGUUCAUGUUUAAAAUCAAUAGGAAAAUAAUAUAUUAUUGUUAUAUAGUCAGGGCAAUCUAUCCACUAUAUACGAGGUCUGUGUGGGUUCCGUGCGUUGAGAGAGAUAAAGAAAAGGAGAGAGAGAGAGAGAGAAAUAAAAGGAGAGAGAGAGAGAGAGAAAUAAAAGGAGAGAGAGGGAAAAGGAGAGAGAGAGAAAUAAAAGGAGCGAGAGAGAGAGAGAGAGAGAUAAAAGGAGAGAGCGAGCGAGAGAGAUGAAUAAACGGAGAGAGAGAGAGAUAAAGGAGAGAGAGAGAGAUGAAGGAGAGAGAGAGAAAGAGAGAGAGAAAUAAAAGGAGAGAGAGAGAGAUAAAGGAGAGAGAGAGAAAGAGAGAGAGAGAUGAAGGAGAGAGAGAGAGAAAGAGAGAGAGAAAUAAAAGGAGCGAGAGAGAUAAAAGCAGAGAGAGAGAUAAAGGAGAGAGCGAGAGAGAAAUAAACGGAGAGAGAGAGAGAAAUAAACGGAGAGAGAGAGAUAAAGGAGAGAGAGAGAGAGAAAUAAAAGGAGAGAGAGAGAGCACACACAGCAUAUGUGCGCUUCACUCCACUCUCUGCUCAGGAGGAGCUUCAGGAUUUUCACUUGUUCCGUGCAACAUCUCAUUUGAAGACUCGUUUACCAAGGAGCUAACGCCUGCGACUAAGAGGGGGAAAGGUAUCUGAACUUCCCAGCUGACUAACAGACCCUGCAGUGUUGUCUUCCCUACCAGUAGACUGAAUGACCAGACCAGACCAGGCAGUGCUCCCAGUGUAUCUGGACUGGACCAUUUGGACUAUUUGGCCUCAGUGUCCCAGACUCUGCAGUGGUACCAUCAGUAUUGGACUAUAUAGACUGUAUUUGGACUGACUGACCAGCUCCAGUGAGCCUCCCUCCCUCCUUCCCUCCCAGCAGGCAACAUGACCCCUCAGACCCUUUAAACCCAGAC